rnacentral:rRNA from 1 species
CCAGACUCCUACGGGAGGCAGCAGUAGGGAAUCUUUCACAAUGGGCGAAAGCCUGAUGGAGCAACGCCGCGUGCAGGAUGAAGGCCUUCGGGUUGUAAACUGCUUUUAUAAGCGAGAAAUAUGAUGGUAACUUAUGAAUAAGGAUCGGCUAACUACGUGCCAGCAGCCGCGGUAAUACGUAGGGAGCGAGCGUUGUCCGGAAUUACUGGGCGUAAAGGGCGCGUAGGCGGAUAUUUAAGUCAGAUGUGAAAUCUCUGGGCUCAACCUGGAACGUGCAUUUGAAACUGGAUAUCUUGAGGGCAGGAGAGGAAAGUGGAAUUCCUAGUGUAGCGGUGAAAUGCGUAGAUAUUAGGAGGAACACCAGUGGCGAAGGCGACUUUCUGGACUGUACCUGACGCUGAGGCGCGAAAGCAUGGGGAGCGAACAGGAUUAGAUACCCUCGUA